rnacentral:tRNA from 1 species
ACAUGGUGAUUGACCCCACCCUCUGCAA